rnacentral:tRNA from 1 species
UCGGGAUGUGGCUCAGCUUGGUAGAGCGCUACGUUCGGGACGUAGAAGUCGCAGGUUCAAAUCCUGUCAUCCCGAUUGA